rnacentral:lncRNA from 1 species
UAAAACCAUAAUGAAAUCAGUAAGCCUUAUUAUUUGGUUAAUGCAAUUUAAAUAUGUACAAUGAUCUAAUAUACCAGACAUGUAUUUGUGUUUACAUUUAAUAUGAUGCAAUAGGUAACUGCUGACAAAAUAUUUGAUUUAUGACCAGGAACGCUUAUAAUGAACUCCACUGUAAAUCAAGGAUUAAUAGUAAACAGAGACCAGGUUCAGGAAACAAAAUAAAAACGCACAAAAUGAGCUUCAAAGCCAAACUGAAAAAUACUUUAAAAAGUUUUCGGUUCAGCUUUGAAGCUUGUUUUGUGUUUUUAGUCAAGGAUUACUUACACACAUGCAGUGUCCACUAAUAGUUGGGAUAAAAAUAAAACCAUGAAUUUCUUACAUUUUUAAUAAUGAAAAAUUCUUAUAAAUAUAAAAUAUGGUGCUUUAGGGCCUAAGCAAAAGAUCUACAUUUUUAUAGUAAUGUACUUUAUGUUUAUGUUUAUUUUUAGUUUAUUAAUAAAG